rnacentral:rRNA from 1 species
GGACGGGUGAGUAACACGUAGGCAACCUGCCUGUAAGAUCGGGAUAACUACCGGAAACGGUAGCUAAGACCGGAUACAUAAGCUGAUCGCAUGGUCGGCUUAGGAAACACGGUGCAAGCUGUGGCUUAGGGAUGGGCCUGCGGCGCAUUAGCUAGUUGGUGGGGUAACGGCUCACCAAGGCGACGAUGCGUAGCCGACCUGAGAGGGUGAACGGCCACACUGGGACUGAGACACGGCCCAGACUCCUACGGGAGGCAGCA